rnacentral:tRNA from 12 species
GUCCCCUUCGUCUAGAGGCCUAGGACACCGGGUUUUCAUCCCGGCAACAGGGGUUCGAAACCCCUAGGGGACGCCA